rnacentral:rRNA from 1 species
GACGAACGCUGGCGGCGUGCCUAACACAUGCAAGUCGAACGGACAGGCCCUGCGUUUGUGGGGUUCACGAGUGGCGAACAGGGGAGUAACACGUGAGUAAACUGCCCCUGUCUUUGGGGUAACUUCACGAGACAGGGGCUAAUACCCGAGAGGAUAUCCUGCUGCAUGGGGGGGGUUGGAAAGUGUCGGCGGUUGUGGAUGGUCUCGCGGCUUAUCAGCUUGUUGGUGGAGUAGGUGCUGACCAAGGCUUUGACGGGUAGCCGGCCUUAGAGGGUGACCGGCCACAUUGGGACUGCGAUACGGCCCAGACGGCUACGGGCGGCAGUAGUCGGGAAUCUUGCACAACGGGCGCACGCCUGAGGCAGCAACGCCGCGUGCGGGAUGCCCUCCUUCGGGUUGUAAACAGCUUUCGCCUGUGACGAACCGUUAGUGACGGUAAUGGGUAAAGAAGCACCGGCUAACUACGUG